rnacentral:rRNA from 1 species
AUGAAGAGUUUGAUCCUGGCUCAGGAUGAACGCUAGCUACAGGCUUAACACAUGCAAGUCGAGGGGCAGCAUUUCAGUUUGCUUGCAAACUGGAGAUGGCGACCGGCGCACGGGUGAGUAACACGUAUCCAACCUGCCGAUAACUCGGGGAUAGCCUUUCGAAAGAAAGAUUAAUACCCGAUGGUAUAAUCAGACCGCAUGGUCUUGUUAUUAAAGAAUUUCGGUUAUCGAUGGGGAUGCGUUCCAUUAGGCAGUUGGUGAGGUAACGGCUCACCAAACCUUCGAUGGAUAGGGGUUCUGAGAGGAAGGUCCCCCACAUUGGAACUGAGACACGGUCCAAACUCCUACGGGAGGCAGCAGUGAGGAAUAUUGGUCAAUGGGCGCAGGCCUGAACCAGCCAAGUAGCGUGAAGGAUGACUGCCCUAUGGGUUGUAAACUUCUUUUAUAUGGGAAUAAAGUUUUCCACGUGUGGAAUUUUGUAUGUACCAUAUGAAUAAGGAUCGGCUAACUCCGUGCCAGCAGCCGCGGUAAUACGGAGGAUCCGAGCGUUAUCCGGAUUUAUUGGGUUUAAAGGGAGCGUAGGUGGACAGUUAAGUCAGUUGUGAAAGUUUGCGGCUCAACCGUAAAAUUGCAGUUGAUACUGGCUGUCUUGAGUACAGUAGAGGUGGGCGGAAUUCGUGGUGUAGCGGUGAAAUGCUUAGAUAUCACGAAGAACUCCGAUUGCGAAGGCAGCUCACUGGACUGCAACUGACACUGAUGCUCGAAAGUGUGGGUAUCAAACAGGAUUAGAUACCCUGGUAGUCCACACAGUAAACGAUGAAUACUCGCUGUUUGCGAUAUACAGUAAGCGGCCAAGCGAAAGCAUUAAGUAUUCCACCUGGGGAGUACGCCGGCAACGGUGAAACUCAAAGGAAUUGACGGGGGCCCGCACAAGCGGAGGAACAUGUGGUUUAAUUCGAUGAUACGCGAGGAACCUUACCCGGGCUUAAAUUGCAUUUGAAUAAUCUGGAAACAGGUUAGCCGCAAGGCAAAUGUGAAGGUGCUGCAUGGUUGUCGUCAGCUCGUGCCGUGAGGUGUCGGCUUAAGUGCCAUAACGAGCGCAACCCUUAUCUUUAGUUACUAACAGGUCAUGCUGAGGACUCUAGAGAGACUGCCGUCGUAAGAUGUGAGGAAGGUGGGGAUGACGUCAAAUCAGCACGGCCCUUACGUCCGGGGCUACACACGUGUUACAAUGGGGGGUACAGAAGGCAGCUACCUGGUGACAGGAUGCUAAUCCCAAAAGCCUCUCUCAGUUCGGAUCGAAGUCUGCAACCCGACUUCGUGAAGCUGGAUUCGCUAGUAAUCGCGCAUCAGCCAUGGCGCGGUGAAUACGUUCCCGGGCCUUGUACACACCGCCCGUCAAGCCAUGAAAGCCGGGGGUACCUGAAGUACGUAACCGCAAGGAGCGUCCUAGGGUAAAACUGGUAAUUGGGGCUAAGUCGUAACAAGGUAGCCGUACCGGAAGGUGCGGCUGGAACACCUCCUUU